UGGAGUUGUGUUGAAGAUGGACUCCCACCUGUCUUCACUGUGGGAUCCAUGGAAUUGUUCCAUGAUCCUAGGAGAGGGCAGACAUGAGCUGGCCUGAAGAAACCUCAAGCAGAGUUCCAGCAAUAAGCCACAAAAUCCCCAAAAAUCCGAAAUGAUCUUCAGGAUUCCUCAUUCAUGCCUAGAGAUUGUAGGGGGAAUCCACAGUGCCCCUCAGCAGAACUAAUGGACACCAUUUUCAUGUUUGCCAUCUCUACAGACAGCAUCUGAGACACUGUCUAAAUGUCACUUGCACCCAUUAGAGGACAAUAUGAGGUGUGAGAACACUGUUUCAUCUUGGGCUUCCCUUUAUCUUGGUUUCUGCAUUUCCCAGAGAGCCUCUCUGUUAGGCCAAGAAUGAAGGGAGGCAGUGAAGUCAAGAGACCGGCCAUCUUUCACUGACAUCACCAUCUAUGAUCUCAGGGAAUCCAUAGUUCCUCUAUAAAGCACUGCUGGACAUCAGUUUCAGGCUUGCCUUCACCCCAGAUGGCCUCUGAGAUCUGUCUCAACUUUAUGUGCACCCGUGAGAGGCCAGUCCAAGGUGUGAGAAUACUGCUUCACCUUGUACUUGCCUUGUUUGGGGUUUCUGCAUUUCCCAGAGAGCCCACACGAGGCUCAGGAUGAAGAGAGGCAAUGAAGACAAGA